UAUACUUCCAAGAAAAGCUUGCACUGUCAUAGAUAAAAAACGCCUGUACCAUAACCGACACAGGUGGGUAGGUAGAGUAUACUAAGGGGCGCGAGAUAACUCUCUCUAAGGAACUCGGCAAAAUAACUCCGUAACUUCGGGAGAAGGAGUGCCUUAUUCUUAAGGUUGCAAUAACAAGAUCCAAGCAACUGUUUAUCAAAAACACAGGUCUCCGCUAAGUCGUAAGACGAUGUAUGGGGGCUGACGCCUGCCCAGUGCCAGAAGGUUAAAGAAGCUGGUUAGCAUUUGCGAAGCUAGUAACUGAAGCCCUGGUGAACGGCGGCCGUAACGAUAACGGUCCUAAGGUAGCGAAGUUCCUUGUCGGGUAAGUUCCGACCCGCACGAAAGGCGUAAUGAUUUGGAUACUGUCUCGGAGAGGGGCUCGGUGAAAUAGACUUGUCUGUGGAGAUGCGGACUACCUGCACCAGGACAGAAAGACCCUAUGAAGCUUUACUGUAACUUGAAAUUGAAAUUGGACUUUAUUCGCGCAGUAUAGGUGGGAGGCGUUGAUUAUAAUCUUGCGGGAUUAUUGGAGCCAUUAGUGAGAUACCACUCUUGUAAUGUUAGAUUUCUAACUUUGAAUCAUUAUCUGGUCAAAGAACAGUUUCAGGCGGGCAGUUUGACUGGGGCGGUCGCCUCCCAAACGGUAACGGAGGCGUACAAAGGUUUCCUCUGAACGGUUAGAAAUCGUAUCUAGAGUGUAAAGGCAUAAGGAAGCUUGACUGUGAGACCUACAAGUCGAGCAGUGACGAAAGUCGGUCUUAGUGAUCUGACGGUACUGAGUGGAAAGGCCGUCACUCAACGGAUAAAAGUUACUCUAGGAUAACAGGCUGAUCUCCCCCAAGAGUUCACAUCGACGGGGAGGUUUGGCACCUCGAUAUCGGCUCAUCGCAUCCUGGGGCGGUAGUACGUCCCAAGGGUUGGGCUGUUCGCCCAUGAAAGCGGUACGCGAGCUGGGUUCAGAACGUCGUGAGACAGUUCGGUCCAUAUCCGGUGUAGGCGUUAGAAUAUUGAGAGGAGCCUUCUUUAGUACGAGAGGACCGAGAAGGACAUACCUCUGGUGUACCAGUUAUCGUGCCAACGGUAGACGCUGGGUAGCUAUGUAUGGAGUGGAUAACCGCUGAAAGCAUCUAAGUGGGAAGCCCACCUCAAGAUAAGUAUUCUC
rnacentral:rRNA from 1 species